AUAAGGGAACCUCGAGUGCCAGGUUACAAAUCUGGCUGUCGAGAUGCCUAAAAAGCAUUUCAUAGCAAGGGCCGGGCAAGACCGGUGCCAGCCGCCGCGGUAACACCGGCGGCUCGAGUGGUAACCGUUAUUAUUGGGUCUAAAGGGUCUGUAGCCGGCCGGAUAAGUCUCUUGAGAAAUCUGGCAGCUUAACUGUCAGGCUUUCAGGAGAUACUGUCUGGCUCGAGGCCGGGAGAGGUGAGAGGUACUUCAGGGGUAGGGGUGAAAUUUUGUAAUCCUUGAAGGACCACCAGUGGCGAAGGCGUCUCACCAGAACGGACCUGACGGCAAGGGACGAAAGCUAGGGGCACGAACCGGAUUAGAUACCCGGGUAGUCCUAGCCGUAAACGAUACUCGCUAGGUGUCGGCCACGGUGCGACCGUUGUCGGUGCCGUAGGGAAGCCGUGAAGCGAGCCACCUGGGAAGUACGGCCGCAAGGCUGAAACUUAAAGGAAUUGGCGGGGGAGCACCACAACGGGUGGAGCUUGCGGUUUAAUUGGAUUCAACGCCGGAAAUCUUACCGGGACCGACAGCU
rnacentral:rRNA from 1 species